UAGGCAUUCUACGAAGAGGGCCUAAAGA
rnacentral:piRNA from 1 species